rnacentral:rRNA from 1 species
UACAGAGGGGGCAAGCGUUGUUCGGAAUUACUGGGCGUAAAGGGCGCGUAGGCGGCCUGUUAAGUCGAACGUGAAAUCCCCGGGCUCAACCCGGGAACUGCGUCCGAUACUGGCAGGCUUGAAUCCGGGAGAGGGAUGCGGAAUUCCAGGUGUAGCGGUGAAAUGCGUAGAUAUCUGGAGGAAGACCGGUGGCGAAGGCGGCCUGCUGGGCAGUUACUGACACUGAGGCGCGACAGCGUGGGGAGCAAACAGG